CACCCUUUAAUCAUAUAUAUCAAAGUCAGGCCAAAGGGGGUAAUUAUUAAGUUUCUAUUUUCAUUUUUUCCUUACAAUUCUCAUGAAAAAUUGUUCUGAGAAAUGACCUAAAAACUGAAUUUCCCCCUUAGAACCCCUAUAAAGACAAUAUAAAUACAAAAAUUCCACUGGGAACACCCCAGGAGUGUUCUGAUACCAUUACUAUAUCAAUAGAACCACACACUUUGUGUCUUUGAUGCUCUAAUGCUGUAAAUUUUGCAUUACAUGUGAUCUGUCCAACAUUUACUUGGCAUUUGGCGGGAGUUUGACGUCACAGAUUUGACCAACAUCUGUGAUGUAGUAAUUAAAUAUAGACAAAGCUCCGCCUCUUUCCAGACAGUCUAAGAUAAGAGAAUAACAAGAUUGACCAGCUGCAUAUAAUCAAUGUUUAACUUCAUUAUUCUCUAUAUCCUGGCUAUAUAUAAAGAAUAACUUUCAUUUGAAUUUAAAAAAAAGAAAUAAACUGUCUGAAAUAAGCUAGAACAUUAAAAGUGUGCAUCAAAAAACAUGUUCAUAAAAAGAUCAAGAGUUAGACCAC
rnacentral:lncRNA from 1 species